GAUGAACGCUGGCGGCGCAUUUAAGACAUGCAAGUCGAACGAAAACUUUUUACCGAAUUGAUAUGACGAUUUAUCUGAGUUGAAAUUCACCAAAAAGUUUUAGUGGCGGACGGGUGAGUAAUACGUAGAUAAUCUGCCUUUUAGAGGGAAAUAACAGCUAGAAAUGGCUGCUAAUACCGCAUAAGCGCACAGUGCCGCAUGGCAGUGUGUGAAAAACUCCGGUGGUAUGAGAUGGAUCCGCGUCUGAUUAGCCAGUUGGCGGGGUAGCGGCCCACCAAAGCGACGAUCAGUAGCCGGCCUGAGAGGGCGACCGGCCACAUUGGGACUGAGACACGGCCCAA
rnacentral:rRNA from 1 species